UCGGGCUUGUCUCUGCUUUCUCCUGCAUGGAUUCAUUUGAUGAAGGCCUUGAAUGCAGAAUCAUUGUGGUACAUGAUUGAAAGUGUGUCAGUUCUUCAGGUAGAGAAGCCGGUAGGUACAGCACAUUCAUUCCCCAAACUGGGAUAUGCUGGCAUUCAUCAGUUUUGUCCAGCAUUGCCUACAAAUUUUGGGGAAAAUAAUAUGCGAGAUUUCUCACUGAUUUUGUUUGUAUUUCAUAGUGCUGGGGAUUUCAGUAUAUAACUGGUGUUGGUCUGAAGUACCGAUUGACACAAAUUGUGUGAUUGCAUUAUGUGCGCUGUGGCAAAUAAUUAAACUGUUAAUUAGUGCUUGAUUAAGCACUACAAGCAAGUACUGUGCCUUGAAGUUAUGAUCUGCACUGAAAAUUUCAUAGUCUGCAUAACAAUACCUUAUGUAUUAUUGUAUUGGGAAAAAAGUACUUCACCUAUUUUAUGUGUAAAAAAUGCGCAUCAUUUUACUUUUUUAUCAUACUUCUGAGCACGAAGCGGCGGCCGCAUCGCCAUGGACACUAGUCGUGAGCAAAACACGGUAAUGGCGGCAACAGAAAGUCGGAUUGAAGUGUAAAGUGAGGUUUCUUUUCAGUGUUUUUACGCAUUCUCUAAACUUCUGAACGUGUUUUAACAUGUGUGCAAGUGCAGCGGCUUAUUCCGCUACUGAUUUUUGUAUGAAUAUUGCUUUGACCGGCAAUGCUUGUCCACUGCGUCUGGUUUCUUAUUCUAUGACUGGGUCAGAUCCUGAAAUUCGCGUGCUUGCCAACACAAAGGUCUUCCAGGCAGACGAUUCUUCAGAGAGUCCUCGUAGUCGUCCGGUGACACUUUGCACUCAGGGAAGCCAACUUAGGAAUACAUCGGUUUAUUGUAGGACAAAGUAGCAUACAUCGACGAGCGGCGGCUGAUUAUCGGCUGGCUCCUUCCCUCUUCAUCUCUACACACUUUUUUAAGGGAUCAUCAACAAUACACGCUGUACCCGCCCCCAUUUUCUAGUCCGGUUUUUGGAACACGCAGACCAACAUUACUUAAACGAACACCACAUGGCCCUCUUACUUGAAGUUCACACGCCUCAGUGCAAGCCCCGCGAACAGAUAAAUCACCC